CACUCACCUGGCAGAAUACU
rnacentral:misc_RNA from 1 species